rnacentral:miRNA from 12 species
AGAGGUGUAAGGCAUGGGAAAA